UACGGGGGGUGCGAGCGUUGUCCGGAAUCACUGGGCGUAAAGGGCGCGUAGGUGGUUUGAUAAGGGUGUGGUGAAAGCCCGGGGCUCAACCCCGGGUCUGCCGUGCCGACUGUCAAACUCGAGGGCUGUAGAGGCAGACGGAAUUCCGGGUGUAGCGGUGGAAUGCGCAGAUAUCAGGAGGAACACCGGUGGCGAAGGCGGGAUCUCGUGGGCCGAUACUGACGCUGAGGAGCGAAAGCGUGGGGAGCGAACAG
rnacentral:rRNA from 1 species